CUCAGCGAACCCAGCAGCCGCGCACGCGCCGCCCGCACGGGACGUGUCCGGGACGUGUCCGGGCCCGUCCUCACCCGUCCUCGCCCGCCUCGGGGCCGCCCGCGCGGCAGCACGGAGCUCGGUGCCCCGCUGCGCACCGCCGGCUAUCCGGGCGCGGCGCGGAGAAGACCGAGCCGCCGGCUGCAGGUCCGACCCCGCGCCCUUACCUCGUCGCCGCCUCGCCGCUCCCUUCAGCCGGAGGAGGGCCCCGAGGCGCCGCGCGUGACGCCGCGAGUUUACCCUACACAACUCUCGCCCGACCGGGCGCCGAGCCCCGCCCGCCCGCACGCUGCCAUGCGCCCCUCACCGCACCGCUCGGCUAUGCCGCCACGGGCUCCCCUCCGCCCGGCCCGCCCCGCGGGGCUGCGGAUGAUUGACGUGCAGGCGGGCCAAUCGCAGCGCGGGGCGCCUUCUCCACGAGCGGCGCGGGCCCGGCGCUGCGGCUCCCUCUGCUGGCGGCGCCGCCACGCGGUCGGUGUUGGAGGCGAGGCGCGCGUCAGCCGCUUCGUAUCCUGAAAUUUUAGGGGUGUUAUUUCGGAUUCAGUCUUAAAUUUUCAAGCCGUCUUGUGGUAAUUAUCAUCUGAGAGGCUUAAAAUGCUUUUGAGGGGUGCGCUGGAGUAGGAUGCAAGCAGCUGCUAGGGAUGCAAACUUUGUACCUCGUCGUCUGACUGCGCUGCGGGGACGCGGCGCUGGGCGGGCGGCGAGGCGAGGGGCAGCGACUGCGGCGUGCGAUGUCCGAGAGACACGUGGAGGAAGUAUGAGCGAGGGCUGCGGUGUGCGCUUGUGGAAGUGUUUAGAAACAGAAGUGUUGAUAACUGGAGAUGCUUCCAAGAAAUACAUGCAGGAGUCAAGAUACAGCAAAGCAGAACUGUGGUGUUUAAGAGUAUCUUCCUUUCCGAGAGCUGGAACUUGGAUGAGAAUAACUGAGACUGGUGGAGCUAGGACCCAGGAAGUGCAAAUAGCCAGGAGCUGAUCCAGAAAGUGCAGUUCCUCGGCACUUUGUUCCAGCACCAAGCAGCUUGUUGCGUGAUGGAGCAAGUCCCAUCCUAUAGUAGAACAGCCAAGAUUGGCAGGGUGCACCAAGGUCUUCUAACUUGUAUGAGGUGUGGAGUUAACAUGUUGCAAGAGAAAGGUCCUCUUCUUUGGCUUGACUUGCAAAGUUCGAGCCUCCAACUUAGCUUCAUGUUGUAGCAGUCAGAGUUGAUGGUUUGUCUGGAUUCCAGGAAAUCUUGAGGAUUAUUCCUUUCCUUUUCCAGAAGACAGUGCAUAUCACUUUACCUGCUGAAGGCUGUGUUUUGAACUUUUUUCAAAAAAAUUGGAUCGUAGUGGUAACAACACAUUGAGUAAUUAUUCUAUCCGGGAAACUGUCACCUUCAGCCUCAUAUCAGUUCAGUAGAUCCUGACAAACUUGCAUAUGGUGUCCUUUCAGUUCCUAAGUGAGCUUUUGUGGGACUUACCUGGUGCGAGUUUUGCACUAUUUCAACAUUGCCACUGUUGUUUCCAGUGCAUUGAAGCUGAUAUUUAGCUCCAUACACAGUUCCCUGGUCAUAAUCCACUGACUCAUAUGAAUGAGUGACCAAGAUGCUCUUCAUUUUGUGGUGUGUUAACUGUGUAUGGCAUAGCUGUCUGUAAUGUGUCUUGUCCUUCAUGGAGUCUUUGUCACUGCUGAAGCAGUGCCCCAUUGUGCUCGUAUCUACUGUUUGAUGCUGAAUGUUUAUGGAGACCAAUGAAUAUUAAUCUGUGCAUUUUUUUCCAUGUGAAGGGAUUCUGCACCUCUACUUCAUGCACAUUUCCAUGUCAGAUGCUAUUUUGUCAGUCUGCCAUAUAUCACACGCGACAAAACAUGACAGCAUAUUGACAGGAAGGUUUGACCUCUACUGCCGUAUCAUUACCAUCUGCCUCUGACCUUGUGAGCCAGCAUGAUAGAAUAGGAGGCAUUACUUUAAGACCAGCCCUCGUAUAUAGGAAUAUGAAAUGCAGCCUGUUCAACCUGGAAGUAACAAGAAUGUAAAUGAGGAUGACAGACUUUGUUAGAUCCUGAACUCGUAUUGUCAUAAAUACUUGCAAACUGAAACUGUUUAAAAUUGAGGUGCCCUUAAAGAAGGGAGAUGAAUUUGGGAUUUUAAUUUGAGUAUUGAUACUAAUGAAAGCUUAUGAUGCCCUCUUUGAGACCUUUGUAUUACUAUUAGCUAUUUAAACACAUUUGGUCUGGGAGGAAAAAAAGAGGAGAACACAGAGAAGUACAUAGUUACAAACAUAUAUUUCAAGACACAGUGCACCUUACAGCAGUGUGAUUUCUAAAUGAAAGGGACCAGGGUAGGGAACCACUGCUUCUGCUGAAAGCAAACAUAUGCAUUUUCAAGGAUAGUAAGAAUUAAUGUGCAAGUUCAUGUGUUAUGAUGAUUUCAUCAGCAAGCUAGUGAUCAUGUUUACAAGGGAACCUAACCAUAACCUCACCAGCUGUUUUAGGGUGACUUCUUGGAACCCAGCACAUUGUUUUAAUUUAAUAUACUAGCAUUAUGCUAAUAGCUGUUAAGGACUACUGAUAAUAUCUGUUCUGAUGUAGCUGAAAGCCAUUAGUUCUUUUGGCCAAAUACAGUUUUCCAUUUAACUGAACAAUUACAUGGAAUCAUGUUAUUCGUAUUAAUGCAAUUUGAACAACUGGUGUCUAGACGAAUGAAAAAGGUUGGUAAUCUUGUAUUAAUGAGGAUUUAUCAUUUGACUAAGUAACAUAUAUAUUUAAAUAUGAAUAAAAUGUUAUUUACUAAUAUAGGUAUGUAGUUU
rnacentral:lncRNA from 1 species